rnacentral:lncRNA from 1 species
AAAAUAAAUUGAAAGAAAGCGAAAGGGGAGAAACCUACCUGCGGGAAAAAUCCCAUGAGAAAACAGCUUGGCCGCACGAGUGUUGGGCACUGUGCGUGCGUGCAUGCUAGCACAGUGUUUGCGAUGCGUGUGCAAAGUGCACACGACCCAUCCGCAGGAGAGCACACAUAGGACGUGCGUAUAGCACGCACGACCCAUCUGCACACCAGCACGCACAGGAUGGGCGCAUAGUGUGCACGACCUAUUCGUACACUAGUACCCACAGGACGUGCGCCCAGCGCGCAAGUCCCCUCUGCAUGCAUGCACGCGACAUGCACAGAUCCCAUCUACGCGUAUGGCGCGGGUUCAGGACCUGCACACCCAUCCUAUCGCCUACAAGUGGGCUGUUCGCGUGUCGCUUCGUGCACGGAGUAGCGCUGCACACUGUGCACGCACCGUCUGUUUGGCAAACCUACAUGAAAAGGCCCUGUGUGCCUGGGGCUUGCGCGCAGUAGGCUUGUGUGCACGCAGG